GACGAACGCUGGCGGCGUGCUUAACACAUGCAAGUCGAACGGAAAGGCCCUGCUUGCAGGGUAUUCGAGUGGCGAACGGGUGAGUAACACGUGGGUGAUCUGCCCUGCACUUCGGGAUAAGCCUGGGAAACUGGGUCUAAUACCGGAUAGGAGCCAUUUUUAGUGUGAUGGUUGGAAAGUUUUUUCGGUGUAGGAUGAGCUCGCGGCCUAUCAGCUUGUUGGUGGGGUAAUGGCCUACCAAGGCGGCGACGGGUAGCCGGCCUGAGAGGGUGGACGGCCACAUUGGGACUGAGAUACGGCCCAGACUCCUACGGGAGGCAGCAGUGGGGAAUAUUGCACAAUGGGCGCAAGCCUGAUGCAGCGACGCCGCGUGGGGGAUGACGGCCUUCGGGUUGUAAACUCCUUUCGCUAGGGACGAAGCUUUUUGUGACGGUACCUAGAUAAGAAGCACCGGCUAACUACGU
rnacentral:rRNA from 1 species